rnacentral:rRNA from 1 species
GACGAACGCUGGCGGCGUGCCUAAUACAUGCAAGUAGAACGCACAGUUUAUACCGUAGCUUGCUACACCAUAGACUGUGAGUUGCGAACGGGUGAGUAACGCGUAGGUAACCUGCCUGGUAGCGGGGGAUAACUAUUGGAAACGAUAGCUAAUACCGCAUAAUAUUGAUUAUUGCAUGAUAAUUGAUUGAAAGAUGCUAUUGCAUCACUACCAGAUGGACCUGCGUUGUAUUAGCUAGUAGGUGAGGUAACGGCUCACCUAGGCGACGAUACAUAGCCGACCUGAGAGGGUGAUCGGCCAAACUGGGACUGAGACACGGCCCAGACGCCUACGGGAGGCAGCAGUAGGGAAUCUUCGGCAAUGGACGAAAGUCUGACCGAGCAACGCCGCGUGAGUGAAGAAGGGUUUCGGAUCGUAAAGCUCUGUUGUAAGAGAAGAACGGGUGUGAGAGUGGAAAGUUCACACUGUGACGGUAGCUUACCAGAAAGGGACGGCUAACUACGUG